GGGAGAAGGCGAAGGCCGGGCCGGGCCGGGCCGGGCCGGGCGGCACCACGCAGCGGGCCCCGCGGGGGGGGGUCGCUCCAGUUCUCAGAUAAGAACGUGUUUAAGUGCCACGUCCACAAACUCGCACCACGUACCUCACAGAAUGUGAAGCUGGAUGGCCACUUCAGAGAUCGUUUAGUUCUUCCAGUUGCCUCAAGACAGAACUUAGCUUAUUUCUGAUCGACUUUUGACUGCUCAAACCCUUCUUAAAAUAUUGGAUCAAAUGACAUCUGAGGACACCCAACUGUCCCAGUGUGAACUAGGAGUUCAUUGUCCUGCUGUUGUGUAAACAUGUAGUAAGAUGCAGACCUUCUCCCAGAAUCAGGAGUCCUAAAGAAAAUGACAGACAAGGGAUAGCGCUGGAGGAACUGAAGUAAAGAGAUGACAGGGAAGACCACUCCCUUCUACUCUUAAAUUUCAUUUCCUGCUGAACUGUUCUGCUAAUCGUACAGAAUGACUGACAUAGGGAUACCUCCAUUUUGAAGCAUUAACUGGAAACAGGCAUCCUAUUUUCAAUUUCAGAAAACUACUAAGGAUAUGUAUAGUUCAGUCAGUAAAGCAACUGAGAGCUGUUUGCUGUAUGAUCUUGACCAAAUAAUUUCAUUUCACUGCUGCUGUUACUCUUGCUCUCUCUGU